CUGGUCCUGAAUCAAGACUGGCAGCUUCCUGAUGUUGUUGGUUUCAAGGAGGAGCCUAAAGAGAUGUUGGCCAUUUCAUAACUUGGGUAGUGAAAUGGUCAAUUCAUUAGAAAGAAACAGCU
ensembl:snoRNA